rnacentral:tRNA from 1 species
AGUAAAAUAAUUAAAAAUUAAAAAUUAAAAUUAAUAUUAUAUAAUUUUUAUUUUAUAUUAAAAUAAUUUAAAUAAUUAUUUUUUUAUAUAUUAGGAUUUUUUUUUAUAUAUAUAUUAAUAUUAUUAUUUAUUUUAUAUAUAUAUAUAUAAUUAAUAUAUAUUAAAUUUAUAUAUAUUUAUAAAAUUUAUAUAAGCUUAAUAUUUAAUAAAUAUAUUUAAAUUAGGUUUUAAAAUUAUUAUUUUAUUA